rnacentral:rRNA from 1 species
UAGGGAAUCUUCCACAAUGGGCGCAAGUCUGAUGGAGCAACGCCGCGUGAGUGAAGAAGGUCUUCGGAUCGUAAAACUCUGUUGUUAGAGAAGAACACGAGUGAGAGUAACUGUUCAUUCGAUGACGGUAUCUAACCAGCAAGUCACGGCUAACUACGUGUCAG